rnacentral:rRNA from 1 species
CACGCUGUAAACGAUGAAUACUAGGUGUAGGGGGUGUAAACUCCCCCUGUGCCGCAGCUAACGCAAUAAGUAUUCCGCCUGGGGAGUACGGCCGCAAGGUUGAAACUCAAAGGAAUUGAC